AAUAUUGCACAAUGGGCGCAAGCCUGAUGCAGCAACGCCGCGUGAGGGAUGACGGCCUUCGGGUUGUAAACCUCUUUUAGUAGGGAAGAAGCCUUUUGGGGUGACGGUACUUGCAGAAAAAGCGCCGGCUAACUACGUGCCAGCAGCCGCGGUAAUACGUAGGGCGCAAGCGUUGUCCGGAAUUAUUGGGCGUAAAGAGCUCGUAGGCGGUUUGUCGCGUCUGCCGUGAAAUCCUCAGGCUUAACCUGGGGCGUGCGGUGGGUACGGGCAGGCUAGAGUGCGGUAGGGGAGAUUGGAAUUUCUGGUGUAGCGGUGGAAUGCGCAGAUAUCAGGAGGAACACCGAUGGCGAAGGCAGAUCUCUGGGCCGCUACUGACGCUGAGGAGCGAAAGCAUGGGGAGCGAACAG
rnacentral:rRNA from 1 species